rnacentral:rRNA from 1 species
CCUACGGGAGACAGCAGUGGGGAAUAUUGCACAAUGGGGGAAAGCCUGACGCAGCGACGCCGCGUGAGUGAAGAAGUACUUCGUUACGUAAAGCUCUAUCAGCAGGGAAGAAAAUGCCGGUACCUGAGUAAGAAGCCCUUGCUAACUACGUGCCAGCAGCCGCGGUCAUACGGAGGGGGCAAGCGUUAUCCGGAUUUACUGGGUGUAAAGGGAGCGUAGACGGCGCGCCAAGUCUCGAGUGAAAUGCCGCAGCUUAACGGCGGAACUGCUUUGGAAACUGGCGAACUAGAGUGCGGGAGGGGUAAGCGGAAUUCCUGGUGUAGCGGUGAAAUGCGUAGAUAUUAGGAGGAACACCGGUGGCGAAGGCGACUUACUGGAACGUAACUGACGUUGAGGCUCGAAAGCGUGGGGAGCAAACAGGAUUAGAUACCCGAGUAGUC